rnacentral:rRNA from 1 species
AUACGGAGGGGGCUAGCGUUGUUCGGAUUUACUGGGCGUAAAGCGCACGUAGGCGGGACAUCAAGUUAGGCGUGAAAGCCCCGGGCUCAACCCGGGAACUGCGCUUGAGACUGGUGACCUAGAGUCCGGGAGAGGGUGGUGGAAUUCCCAGUGUAGAGGUGAAAUUCGUAGAUAUUGGGAAGAACACCGGUGGCGAAGGCGGCCACCUGGACCGGUACUGACGCUGAGGCGCGAAAGCGUGCGGAGCAAACAGGAUUAGAAACCCCGGUAGUCC